AAAGACCAUCAGGAAUCUCCUAGCAGAGACUGGGGUGGGUUUCUGAAAGCACCUGUUGGCUGAGCCCUGGAGGUGGCUGGGGAGCAGAAAGGUCUUGCAGAGACGGCAUGGCUUGAGCAAAAACCACAGGUUCCGGAAAUGCGAAGUGUGUGCAGGCUAGGCGACAUGGAGGAUGUAGUGCAGUGAUAGAGAAGCAGUAAGGUGGAGCUGCCGCAGCCGCCGAGGAGUGUCUGUCCAGGAGCAGAAGCCGUCCUAGACGGAGCAGAGGGCACAGAGAGUUGGGUCUGCCUUGUUGCCCGCCCAAGCCCAGCCCUGGGCACACCCCCUGCCUGGUUGCUGCCCCUGCUCACUGCCGCCUGAAGAUUUGCCUGCAGCUGCCACACCGCGCCGAACAGUCUUUCUCGAAGCCAAAGGAGCCUCUACUUGGGGAAGCUGACACCAUGGGGAGACACCCCGGGAGGAGAGCUGAUCCCUUUGGACUCCCCAGUUUGUGAAAAGGGGUUGGAUGUGUGCAGCGCCCUCCAGCUUUGGCAGCCUGAGUUUGGACUUCUGCACAGAGAUGCCCUCAAGAGAAGGGAGGACCUGCAAGAAUACAGCCUUCCUGGAGGAUGAGACACAAAACAGAGACCCUGUGUCAGGCAGAGUGUGGCAAGUCUGGGUCUAGGAUGCAGAACCCUGGGCUCUGGGAGGGCUCCUGUGCUUCUGUCAGCCUCAGUGUUAUCAUCUGUAAAAGGGGUAUCCGUCCUGGAGCUCAAGCGGAGGCACCUCCACCUGGGAGGGAUUCAGAUGGCCUGAGUGGGAGUCACCAACUCAGGGACUGGAUUCAGAGGCCCUGCCGCCUGAGGGCCCCUCCUCAGGGAAGGCCCCGUUGGCUGUUACCUGCUGAGGUUAUAGUUGAGGGCCAAAGAGUGUCUCCCCAAAAUGUGUUUUAAACCGAGAGGUUGGCUUCAUCCUAGGCCUGGACCGGGAGCGAGGGUGGCAGGGCCCAGUUUGGGAUUUAAAAUGUAAAUAGGCAUUAAGUACUUUUCAGCAUUUAAGGGGAGACAAAGGGAAAUUCACCAGGCGAGACUGUGGAGAAGGUUGCCUUUAAGAUGCAAAUGUGUAUUGUGAAGGCCUGAAUGGGGACGUUGUUAGGGGCCCUGGCCCCUUGCCCCCUGUGGCUGGGCAGAGGGCUCUGAGGGGCCGGUGGGUCUGACUGAACCCGGGAGAAGCGGCCAGAGAUCAAAGGAGUGGACAAGUCGUGCUGAGGCUGAAAGGGUGCAAAACGUGGGGGCUGAGAGAGCUUAGAGUUCCCAGACACCUCACUUGGAGGGAGCUUGCUGACCCCUUCAGUAGGAACUGGGCCCCAGCUCUGCCGGGAGACUGGGACAGGCCAGGGGCCUGGUUCCUAAGCGCAGCCGGCCCAUGCUUAGGGCACCAGCAAAACAGGAGCCCCACAGAGGGUUCCAAUAGGAUACACAUUGUUUAAGGAUGGAGGUAGGUAGUGCGCAUCAGGGAAGAAGCCAGACCUUUGUGGGACCUCACACAGCAUUAAGUUUGGUUUUCAUUCUGAAUUGCAUUAAGCAAGAGGGAUGGCAGGCCCACGUGCACACGUCUGCAUGGGGCCUCGAGGCACCCGGGGACCAUGGUUGAGUAAGAAUCCCCAACCUAGAGAUAAGGCCCACAGAGGCGACAGAGUUGAGGAUGAUUGGAGAUUUGCACCUAUCUCCAGAAUUGAGCCACCUCCCUCUGUCCGUUCUCCAAGAGCUGUGAAGGCUGCUGGACCGAGCAGUGAGUGGGUGCAGGAGAAGAGGGAGGUGGGGGCCCGGCCAGGCCCUGCUGUAAGUCAUGCUGCCUCUUUCCCCAGGUCUUCUUUUCCCCCAUUUCUUUAAAAGCCCAUUAGUUUUUUCUCAGUAAAGUUACUCGUGGUCUAAAACUCAACGGUGCAGAAGGAUGCGAAGUGAAAACAAAGCCCCUGCCCCUCAGUCCCACGGCCUGGACACAGCCCCGCUCCCGGCAGGGGCACGCGGCCAAACGGGCACAGUGGUGCUUCUUGCUUUGUUAACCUGGACGGCUCAGUGGGCACAUUGGGUGUAGCUUGUUCUUUGGAAAAGCUGCGGAGUGGCCCACAGCCUGUGCCCGGCGCUUUAUUUAACCAGCCCUGUUGAUGGGUGUGUAGAGCUGUUUCAAUGCUUCCAUGACUCUCUUCACUAGCCUGGAAAUAUCUACGGGAUUCAUCCUAUAAUUGGGGUUUUUCUGUCAAAGAGAAUUGUCAACUUUUGGCGACCUGUGGCCAGGUUGUCCUCAGAGACUGCCCCUCCCCUGCACCCCCCAUUUCCCCUUCCCCUGCCCUGUGUCCCCACCUGGGGCCUGUUUCUGCUAACCAGUGCCACCCCGGGGGGGGAGCACUCAGACCUCAGGAUUUGGUUUUCUUCCUUUUCACGUUUUGUAACCCCCAGCUUGCGUUAUGUGUGCUCUUCCCUGGACCCCCAUCUCAGGGGCCGCCAUCACUCCUCAGGGCCUUCCCCACCCCCAGCCCGCCACCCCCACUGCCCCCUCCUGUGGGCUGUGGCCCAGUCUAGCAGUCUGCCUUCUGCCAGCUUUUCUAACUUCACAUCCCAUUCUUCAUCCCUGUCAGAGGCCUCAGCUGCCGCGUGUCUGCCUGGCCGCGCUGGGCUCUGCGGCUCACCAGAGCCCUGACUCCCCCGUCCUGGGGUUCCUGGGGCUUGGAAGUGGGGUCUCUGCCCAGCCGUCCAGCCGUGUGUGGCACAGGGCCUGGCACAGGCGCUCAGAGCUUGGACGAAGGCUGAGGGUUCGAAGGAGGGAAUGAGCAGUGGAAGCCGGAAAAUGGCUUCUCCAGGCCCCGCCCCUGAGGAGCUGUCCCCGCCGCCCAGGCUCACCCUUGGGCGGGGAUCAAGGAGAGAAGCUCAGAGGAGCUGGGUCCCUAGAGCUAGGGGGGCAAGGCCGGGGUGAGAGGAGGGUAGCUCCCCGCCCGAAGCCUUCAGGGGGAUUCCUUUCCUUGGGGGGCAGUCCUGCGCCCCCCCCCAACCCCAGCGCCAGCUUACAGGCUCUGAGCGGGGAGCGCCAGCCGGGCUGGGGUCCAGGACCCCGCAGCCUCGCCUCUGCCCCUGUGGGAAGUGCCGGCUCGGAAGGGAGCCUGCCCCGCAGGGCUUGGCUUCCCGAGGUGGGCGAUGCCAGAAUGGUCUCCCAGCCUCAGACGUGUGGUAGAGCUUGACAUCUCUUCUCCACAAGCCUCUGAGGCCCGAGGAGCUGGGACAGGAUCAAAAAACCAUUCUGGGAGGGGGCUCCGGACAACCAGGACAAAGCCUGACAGAGAAACCACCUUCCUAGGUCUUCCUGCGCCGUCAGCCCGGGCGGCCUGCUCUGGCCGCCGCUGCGGCGCCGUCCCUGUUGGCUGAGGUGCAGGCGAGGGAGCCUUGGCUUUACCUCCCUCUCUCACAAGCAGUCUCAGUUUGUGGACCAACUUCCUUCUUGGGGAAGAACUGAAAGCCCUAACGGGUGGGAGAGCAGCCUGCGGCCCCCUGCUCAGCAGAUGGAGUCGGGGGCACCACACUUGCCAGACACCCAACGUUCCCAGGCGGCUGGGGGGUGGGGGGGGCAGUGUUUCUACCUCCACUGUCCAGAUGAGGAAACUGAGGCUUCAGAGAGGUGAGGUAAUGUCCCUGAUGAUAUCCGGCCAGGAAAAGAGGGCAAAGCACUUGCUGUUUACCCCAUCGCAAGUAGCCCCCCUCUGCCACCUCCAGACACUUUCUCAUACUUUGCUUUAUACCACUUAUCACUUUCUGAGAUUAUCCUGUCUCGUGCCUGUCGUCCCCACUAGAGCAGGGACCCUGUCUAAGUCACUGCUGCAUAGGGCCUGGCACAUAGUAGGCCCUCAAUAAAUAUUUGUUGAAUGAAUGAGAUGGGAUUCAAACCCAGGUCCGGCUGGGAGGCCUGUGCUUCCUGUCACAGCACUGACCCUACACGGGUCACAACUCAAAAGUGUUUGUGCACUGAGCCUAGCAGAGCGGACAGGGACCCCACAGGGUUGUGACACCUUUGAAAACCCUAGUGGAAAGCCUACUGCGAUCUUUGCGAGGCUCACAGAAUUUUAUUUCAUAGUUAUUUGCUUGUCCAAAUUGGGGAUCCUGAACUGGUCAAGAACGAGUUAACAAAUGCCCUGGAAGUUUCCUCCUGCAAUGAGGCGCACCCUCAACCUAGACUCUGCUCCCUAACUGCCAUUAUCUGAGGGGGGGCCCUGAAGAGUGGGGACGUUAUGGCUGCUCUGAGUAGCAGGUAGCAAAGACGGGCCACUUCGGACGGCCACCUGCCACCUGGCUCUGCCACGGCCUCCUCCUCCUCCCCCAAGUUCAAUCCAGUCCUUCUUCCACUUAAAGGCAGCCGGAGGAGCUUUUAAAAAGGCAAACCAGAGCUUGUCGCUGUCCUGCUUGGACCCGCCAGCGGCUCCCCCCCCACCCCUCGUCAGGCCCUGCAGCCUUCAGGCCCUGCUGACCUCUUCGACUUUAUCUCCCGGCGCUCCCGCCCUCCACGCCAGGCACACCCCGCACGGUGCUGUACUGGGCUGCCGUACCAGGCAUCCUGCUGCCUGGUCCCCCCUUCCCGACCACCCCCCUCGUCCGCACUAGCUCCCUCAAUCCUGUCAUCCUGAUUCCUUUUCUCAUAAGGUUCCUCUAGCUACGUGAGCUUUAUCUGCUUGCUUUCUGUCCCCCUGCCUCCAAGACCUUGUCUGUCUUGUGUAGCAUCGAAUGAUGAGAAUCUAGAAAUGAAUCUAACUCCUGGCCCUAGUCAGAUUCCAAAACAUAUUUGGGGAAGGGGAAAAAAGCCCAAAUCAAUGCCUAAUCUGGAGCCUGACAUAAGUAGCUCUCAGAAAAUGUGUUCCUUUACUCCCCUCUUAUCAGGUCAUCUUUCUUGAAAGAGGGGGCCUUUGAGGAAUGCUUUGGGACCAUCAGGGGAUUGAAUGGAAGGAUCCUUAGCCCAUGUCUUAUAGUCUCAUCUGCCCUGCACCUCCCCCCCCCCCCGCCCCCGCCAUUUUACACGAAGAAGCUGAGGUCCAGAGAAGAGGCAGGGCCCACUCGGGCCAUUUGGAUUAUACUCCAAGUCUAAUUCCCGGUCCAGUGCUCUUGCCCCACCUGACCCCCUCGUCUGUCCAGUUGAGAAAGCCUCAAAGUGAGUCUCUCUGUUGCCAGAUCUUCACAGAAGCCAGGUUUUCCCCAAGCCCCCAUCGGAUCCUGCCCACCCCUGCUGAAACACUUGGGCAGCUUCCCAUCACACUUAGAGUAAAAUCCAAACGUCUCCCCACAGCCCAGAAGGCCAGGUGUGGUCUGCACCCUGCUGGUCUCACUCCUGUUCCGACCCCGGCUCCCCAUCACUGCUGGCCUCUCUGUCCAUCCCUGGGACAGCCAAGCCACACGCCAAGGCAGUGCCAUCGUGCUGCUGUUCCCUCUCUUCUCAGACUUUGACGGCCUUUGUCCCUUUGUGCCAAUCAAGUUAAUGUCCUCAGGGAAGCCCUCCCUAAACACCCCGUCUGAAGUAGGGUUACCCCCCCACACCCCACACCCCACCCCCGCAUCUUUCACAAAUCACCUUUCCAUGUUUUCCUUCACAGCACUUAUCACCACCUGAGAGUUUCUGGAUGCAUAGCCCUAGUUUCCCUGCCCCACCCUAAGAUCAGCUGGUCUGGCUUAUCACCAAAUCCUCUGUACCUGGCACACGAUAGAUGCUCAAUAAACAUUUGUUUGAAUAAAUGAAAUAAAAA